rnacentral:tRNA from 1 species
GCAUCCAUAGCUCAACUGGAUAGAGCACUGGACUUCGGAUCCAGGGGUUGGGGGUUCGAAUCCCUCUGGAUGUA